rnacentral:rRNA from 1 species
UACGUAGGCAGCAAGCGUUGUUCGGAAUUACUGGGCGUAAAGCGUGCGCAGGCGGUUCGCUAAGACCGAUGUGAAAUCCCCGGGCUUAACCUGGGAACUGCAUUGGUGACUGGCGGGCUAGAGUAUGGCAGAGGGGGGUAGAAUUCCACGUGUAGCAGUGAAAUGCGUAGAGAUGUGGAGGAAUACCGAUGGCGAAGGCAGCCCCCUGGGCCAAUACUGACGCUCAUGCACGAAAGCGUGGGGAGCAAACAGG